CUCUCUCUCUCUCUCUCUCAUGUGCAUGCAUGCUUACUCACACUUGCUUGUAUGCAGCACAUCUGCUUGUAUUGCAGUUUUCAUUUUUGCUUUUUUCCCAGUACCUUACAGUUUCUGCUAAUGGAAAUUUCAUUCAAAAUUUAAAAGGUCUAUUUAGAGAGAAUUUUGAGAAAACCGGAAAUUGAUGCAUUUGCUGAAGAA
rnacentral:misc_RNA from 1 species